GCCCGGGUGGCGAAAUCGGUAGACGCAGGGGACUCAAAAUCCCCCGCCGCAAGGCGUGCCGGUUCGAGUCCGGCCCCGGGCA
rfam:Burkholderiales bacterium JOSHI_001 chromosome, whole genome shotgun sequence.